GUGCUUGUGGCAUUGCCUAGAGUCACUUAUUUUUAUUACUGAGUACUAAAUAUAUGUGAAUUUUUUUUUUUACAGAUUUAAUUAUUGUUUUUAUGCCCCACCUACGACAGUAGAGGGGCAUUAUGUUUUCUGGUCUGUGCGUCCGUUCGUUCGUCCGUCGUACCGUUCGUUCGUCCGUUCGUCCGUCUGUCCCGCUUCAGGUUAAAGUUUUUGGUCGAGGUAGUUUUUGAUGAAGUUGAAGUCCAAUCAACUUCAAACUUGGUACACAUGUUCCCUAUGAUAUGAUCUUUCUAAUUUUAAUGCCAAAUUAGAGAUUUUACCCCAACUUCACGGUCCACUGAACAUAGAAAAUGAUAGUGCGAGUGGGGCAUUCGUGUACUGAGGACACAUUCUUGUUUCUUUCUGUUU
rnacentral:lncRNA from 1 species